GUACGCGUGGGAAUCUACCCUUGACUACGGAAUAACGCAGGGAAACUUGUGCUAAUACCGUAUGUGUCCUUCGGGAGAAAGAUUUAUCGGUCAAGGAUGAGCCCGCGUUGGAUUAGCUAGUUGGUGGGGUAAAGGCCUACCAAGGCGACGAUCCAUAGCUGGUCUGAGAGGAUGAUCAGCCACAUUGGGACUGAGACACGGCCCAAACUCCUACGGGAGGCAGCAGUGGGGAAUAUUGGACAAUGGGCGCAAGCCUGAUCCAGCCAUGCCGCGUGAGUGAUGAAGGCCCUAGGGUUGUAAAGCUCUUUCACCGGAGAAGAUAAUGACGGUAUCCGGAGAAGAAGCCCCGGCUAACUUCGUGCCAGCAGCCGCGGUAAUACGAAGGGGGCUAGCGUUGUUCGGAAUUACUGGGCGUAAAGCGCACGUAGGCGGAUCGAUCAGUCAGGGGUGAAAUCCCAGGGCUCAACCCUGGAACUGCCUUUGAUACUGUCGAUCUGGAGUAUGGAAGAGGUGAGUGGAAUUCCGAGUGUAGAGGUGAAAUUCGUAGAUAUUCGGAGGAACACCAGUGGCGAAGGCGGCUCACUGGUCCAUUACUGACGCUGAGGUGCGAAAGCGUGGGGAGCAAACAGGAUUAGAUACC
rnacentral:rRNA from 1 species